CAGUACCUUUCCUUGUAACCACAUAAGUUGAACAAGAAUGUUUGCACAAAUAGGUGUUUUGGUUAUAGUAUUUCAAACUACAAAUGUUUAGCCGCAACAGGGAAUGUACUUAUCACUCUACAUGGAGGACACCACGGAAUUCGUACUCAAACAUCAAUUAACUCCAUGUCAGUAGGUGGUACUGUGGACAGUAGUAGAGGAGGAAGAAUGCUGGUGGUAUUGAGAAAAAAGUCUCUACCGGGUUCAAAUUGUGCAGGGUCUUAACUGUACUUCGGAGCGCGGUUAAAGCCUCGAUCGAACACAGCUGCCCUUGCCCGCAAGAGAAGAGAUCACUCAGAUGGUGAAUGAGACACAGAGAGAGGUGCAACGAGAAAGGGAGGGAGGAGAGAGCGAGAGAUUGAAUCAAGAGAGCUUCUACACCUUACUGGAAUUGAAGGAGGAGAACAUUUUCUUGGAGGGAAGGUGCAGAGAGUCUGGAUUGGGGGUGUAGAGUUUGCUUUUAAAAUAUUAAAAAAUUAUUUCUCUUUUUCUGUGUGUAGG
rnacentral:sRNA from 1 species